GGUUUGAUUCUGGCUCAGGUCUUGAACGCUGGCGGAUGCUUUACAUACAGAAUCAGGCAGCGGCACGGACAUGAGUCUGGUGGCGAGUGGCGAACAGGUGAGUAUGUAUCGGAACGUGCCUAGUAGCGGGGGAUAACUACGCGAAGGCGUAGCUAAUACCACAUAAAUAUCGGGAAAGCAGGACCUUGGGCUCGCACUAUUCAAACGGCCGAUAUCGGAUUGCUGGUUGGUGGUGGGUAACGGCUCCGCAGGCGAGCAGUGUCCGUAGCUGGUUUGAGAGGACGACCAUGCACUGGGACUGGAGACGGCCAGACUCACGGGAGGCAGCAGUGAAAUUUUGGACAAUGGGGAAACCCUGAUCAAUAUCCGCGUGUGCGAUGAAGGCGCGCUCCGGGUUGUAAAGCACUUUUAGCGGGAAAGAAACUGGCACGGGAUAAUACCCCGUGCAACUGACAGACGCCUGCAGAAUAAGCACCGGUAACUACGUGGCAGCCGCGGUAAUACGUAGGGUGCAAGCGUUAAUCGGAAUUACUGGGCAUCUCGUGGCGGCGUGCGCGAACCGUUCGGAAAGAAAGAUGCGCGAAAUCCAGAGAGCUUUGGCGCUUUACUGGACGCAUUUUUAACUACCGAGCUAAAGUGUGCCCAGAGGUGGAAUUCGCGUGCUGGCAAUGAAAUGCGUAGAUAUGCCGGAGGAGCCACCGAUGGCGAAGGCGACACUCCUGGGAUAACACUGACGCUCAUGCGAAAGCGUGGGAGCAAACAGGAUUAGAUACCCUGGUAGUCCACGCCCUAAACGAUAUCAACUGUGAGGCCUUCGGGCCUUGGUAGCGCAGCUAACGCGUGAAGUUGACCGCCUGGGGAGUACGGUCGCAGAUUAAAACUCAAAGGAAUUGACGGGGACCCGCACAAGCGGUGGAUGAUGUGGAUUAAUUCGAUGCAACGCGAAAAACCUUACCCACCGCCGGCAUGUCUGAUCCCGAAGAGAGAUUUGGGAGUGCUCGCAAAAGAACCGGAACACAGGUGCUGCAUGGCUGUCGUCGAAUAGUGUCGUGAGAUGUUGGGUUAAGUCCCGCAACGAGCGCAGCCUUGUCAUUGGUUGCUGCGAAGGCACUCUAAUGAGACUGCCAGUGACAAACCGGAGGAAGGUGGGGAUGAUGACGUCAGUCUCAUGGCCCUUAUGGGUAGGGCUUCACGUCGCCACAAUGGUCGGGACAGAGGGUCCUUAAUACCAACCCCGCGAGAGGUAAUCCAAGAAACCCGAUCAUAGUCAGGAUGCGCAGUCUGCAACUCGACUGCGUGAAGUCAGAAUCGCUAGUAAUCGCGGAUCAGCAUGUCGCGGUGAAUACGUUCCCAGGUCUUGUACACACCGCCGUCUGCACACACCAUGGGAGUGGGUUUUACCAGAAGUAGUUAAGCCUAACCGUAAGGAGGCGAUUACCACGGUAGGAUUCAUGACUAGGGUGAAGUCCCGUAACAAGGUAGCCCUGUUACUGGUGCUCCAGAACAACUUCGUGGCA
rnacentral:rRNA from 1 species